CAGCCUCCAGUAAGCUUUUCAUGCUUAGCUGACAAGAGUCAAAGAAAGCCAUCAGUACACCUGACCUUUCCCAAGCAGGACUGGAAACCAUGAAGAACAGAUCCUGGAGAUAUAUGUCUGCCAAGUUCAAACAUAUUGUUUAAUUCAGCAGGUAAAUCAGACUCAUAGUUGGAGUGGGGUGGUGUUUUGUAAAAGGAAGAUUCUCAUCAACUGCCUGCAGUGCUGUGUUUUGCAUUCCACUUCUGUAUGACCUUAGGAGAGUGACAAUUAUAUUCCAGUGACACUCCACACAUCCUGCACUACCAAAUUCCUGUGGGGGAGAAUCGCCAGUAGUUGAAAGGAACCAUUUCUGCAUUUGGGACUGCUCCAGAUUCAAAUCUUUCAAGCAAAUUCAUGUAAUUAUUAAGAAACUUUCUGGUUUCUCUUUAACACAGCACAUUGACCCUCUCCUUCCCCUGGAUUGUAGUUUGCAAGAUACUCCACUUACAGACCUGGCACUUGGGAAAUGUUCAUCCUUUUCUAAGAUUCUUUUCCUUAAAUUUAAUUUGAGUUCACUGCCUUCUGUUGGCUUAGAAUAAAACGAAA